CAGCUGUGACAGCACGAAUCACGCUAAUGGCGGGAGGUGGCCGUUCUUCUUCUUUGUGGCCUGAGGACAGGAACACAAACACCUCCAUGCAAAGAGGCUUGAGAAUCUUUGGAGUGGAAUUCAUGGGGAGCACGAGGAGUCGUCGGAGGUGAAAUGUGCAGGACACCCGAGGUCACUGUCUGAGACUCAGCAUUCCCUUCUGGGAAAUGGCACAGCAGCUUUCCUGUCCAACCAAGUUCCAUCUGCUAUAGCCAACCAAAUCACAAACCUAAGUCAUGGGCCUGGAGGCUGCGUGGACGUGGUCCUGCCUGCACGGAGUGCCAGUCCAGAAGGAAGACACGCUUCAAGCAGCAGUCCAUGCCUGGGUUUUGGAUUCUGGAUUCCUCUUCCCUGGCCCUGCAGUGCUAGACCAGAGAGGGAGAAGAGGCUCAUCCAUUGGUGAGGGGCAGGGGGUCCUCAGUUUGGGCCUGGACACUAAGGUCACCCUGGGUAGGUUCUGAGAGUCCAUCUUGCCUAGAGGAUCCCACCAGCUCGUCACUUUCCCUCAGCUCGAACACUGCCAGCGAUGGGGAGCUCACUCCAGUAUUGCAUCAUCACAGCCACGGGAACUAAGGACUCCCUCACACGAGGCCACGUUCUGCCUCCUUCUCACGUCCCCUGAUGGGCCUAAGUCCUUUCCUCCGCAGCGCAGAGGGAGCCCGGCUUGGUGCUGGACGGGCCUCGGCUAGAUCUUGGCUUUGCCACCAGCGGUGCCAACUCAGGCAGGUCCCACCAAGCCGGUUUCAUGUGUAGAACGGGGGUACCACCAUAGAGGGUCAUGAGUUCUGAACGAGUUGGUACAUGUGAAGGCCUCAGCCCAGUGUUAGCUGCUUUUCUUUAUUACUAUUUUGAUCAUCAGUUUGACUGCUCUUUACGUGUCAUUUCCAGAGUGCUCACCUCCCACAUGACCCUUGUCAGAGCACAGUCCAGCUCAUUUGUGCCCUGAGGGAAGAGCCAGGCCCCACCAGCCCACAGGACCCUCUCCCUUCGUCUGGACGUCAGCUUUCCUGGAAAGAAGGAAGCCAGGCCGUGUGGUUGGUGUGCGGUAGAGAACUUUGGCGAUGCACAGCCUGGGCUCCUUUCCUAGCUCCGCCAUCUCCCAGCUCUAUGUCCCUAGACCAGUGACAGAUUUAUCAUCUGUAAAAUGUGAAUACCCUCCCUGCCUCAGAGACAAUGCUGGAUUACCAGGAAGAAAAACGUGGGUACUUAGAGUCCAGCAAAGUAGAACCAUUUUAUACAUAUGCUAGAGGUGAUAACUAUCAUUCUCUAUUAUUAACAAUUAUUAUGAGAAAAAUCAGAACUUCCCCCUCAGACUUCCUUACACUUAUCUUUAGUUUAAUGUCUUAUUUUUAAUAACGACUGUAGGGAGGUACCCACAAUCUUUUGCACGCCUGGGGCCUCUAAGGCUCUCCAUCUGGCCGUGCUCUGACUUGCCGCAAGGCCUGCAAAUCCCUGGCCCAUAAACGUGUUCCAUGAGUAGUGGUCGUUAGCUUAUUUACAACGUCUAAGUGUGACCUGACUUUUUAACCACCAUGAUCGCUGGGUUGACAGUGCUGAGUCUGACCUCAAUGACAAGUCUCAGCCUUUUCAAAGACCAGGGGGACUGAGGGUAGAAAGAACAGGUGCAGAAGUAGGACAGGUACCACGGUGUCCCUGGGGCGGCCAGGGAGCGGCUGGACCCGCCAAGUCCCUCAGGACCCACGCCCUGCAAUUCCGCAGCUCUAAACAACUCACAGAACCUAGACAGACUCUGUGAAGAUUUCUCGAGACCCUAAGACGAUCCAGGCAUUCUUACGUUAGAAUGAGACACAGUCUUUGCCCUCGAGCAACUGUCUCACAAUAAAGACACACAAAACACGUAGAGGUGGGGGUUGCACACCAGCGACCUCCAAGGGAAUUGGCCCACAGCUGCGUUUGGCCAAGUUACUUUUUAAAAAACUGAAUUGGAGGGGCUGGCCUGGUAGCCUAGUGGCUAGGGUCGUGCACUCCGCUUUGGAAACCUGGGAUCCACAGUCUGGACCCAGACCUACACGCUGCUCAUCAGCCACACUGUGGUGGUGUCCCACAUACAAAACAGAGGAAGAUUGGCACAGAUGUUAGCUCAGGGCCAAUCUUCCUCACCAAAAAAAACUCCAAAAAACUAAAUUGGAAUGUCUUUGGGCAGGCACUCUAGGUGACCCCAGCCGCUAUGCCCCAUCUAUUGUGUCACUACAGCUGAUUCACAAAUGGCCAUUAUCCACCUGGUCCCUGCCAUUUGGAUGCGAGGUACAGAAUACUAAAUGUGAAGAUAAAGGCAGGAACUAGUGUGACCAGAGCACAGAAAAGAAGGGACUCAUUCUACCUGAAGUCCAGGAAGGCUUCACAGAAGACAGGGUAUUUGGGUUUGGAGAAAGAUAAUAGGAUAAGGGCUUGGUUCAUAACCUAAGUGACCCCCCAUGCCCCUCUUGUCAAGUCCUUAGGUAGCAGCUCCAGAACUGACUAAAGGAAGAGGUUGAAUCUUUCAUUUCAGGCCGGCGAGCCCUCCGUCAAGCCACUGUGACUCGCUUCUCUCCAGGACAUGCAUAAGGGACAGAGAUGAGGAGCAAAGGCGCGGGAGCCGUUGUGGCUGCCUGACCAACGCGACACGGACAGAGCAGCAAGGACCCCUGCUCUCCCUGCCACCCCUCCCCGAGCACUGGGCCCAACAGGACGGGUCCCCU